rnacentral:lncRNA from 1 species
UGGAGGGGAGAGGAGGCGGGGGACUGAGCCACCGAGGACUAGGCGGCCAGCGAGCAGAGGCGGUUAGCAUCAAAUUCUCCAUCCAAUUCAUCAGAUUGGGAGCCAUUUUGUCCGGAAUCAGCUGGAGCAGAGAGGUACGUUCAAGGGCGAGGCGUCGAUCUAUAAUUCCUAACGAAUUUAAGGGUAUGCCGUGUGAUUAUCUGCGUAGUUUGUUUCCGUCUUGCUAGCGUUG